AGAGUUUGAUCCUGGCUCAGGAUAAACGCUGGCGGCGUGCCUAACACAUGCAAGUCGAACGCCCUCUCGCGAGAGAGGGAGUGGCGGACGGGUGAGUAGCACGUGGGUACCUGCCCUGGGAUGAGGAAUACCAUCGAGAAAUCGGUGACAAGACCGCAUAGGCUUCGGCAACGAAGCAAAGCUCGGGCAACCGGGCGUCCUGGGAUGGGCCUGCGCCUGAUUAGCUAGUUGGUGGGGUAAAAGCCUACCAAGGCGACGAUCAGUAGCUGGUCUGAGAGGAUGAUCAGCCACACUGGGAUUGAGAACGGCCCAGACUCCUACGGGGGGCAGCAGUGAGGAAUUUUCGUCAAUGGGGGCAACCCUGAACGAGCAACGCCGCGUGCAGGAUGACACUUUUCGGAGCGUAAACUGCUUUUCUUGGGGAAGAGAACGGACGGUACCCAAGGAACAAGCCCCGGCUAACUACGUGCCAGCAGCCGCGGUAAUACGUAGGGGGCAAGCGUUGUCCGGAGUUACUGGGCGUAAAGGGCCCGCAGGCGGUGCGCUAAGUUCAGACUGACAAUCCCCGGCUUAACCGGGGAGGGGGUAUGAAAACUGACGCACUUGAGGGAUAGAGAGGGACAUGGAAUUCCGGGUGGAGUGGUGAAAUGCGUAGAUAUCCGGAGGAACACCAAAGGCGAAGGCAAUGUCCUGGCUAUUUCCUGACGCUCAGGGGCGAAAGCUAGGGGAGCGAACGGGAUUAGAUACCCCGGUAGUCCUAGCUGUAAACGAUGACCACUAGACGUUCGGGGUAUCGACCCCCUGAGUGUCGCAGCCAACGCGAGAAGUGGUCCGCCUGGGGAGUACGGUCGCAAGAUUAAAACUCAAAGGAAUUGACGG
rnacentral:rRNA from 1 species